GGUUAAGCGACUAAGCGUACACGGUGGAUGCCCUGGCAGUCAGAGGCGAUGAAGGACGUGCUAAUCUGCGAUAAGCGUCGGUAAGGUGAUAUGAACCGUUAUAACCGGCGAUUUCCGAAUGGGGAAACCCAGUGUGAUUCGUCACACUAUCAUUAACUGAAUCCAUAGGUUAAUGAGGCGAACCGGGGGAACUGAAACAUCUAAGUACCCCGAGGAAAAGAAAUCAACCGAGAUUCCCCCAGUAGCGGCGAGCGAACGGGGAGCAGCCCAGAGCCUGAAUCAGUGUGUGUGUUAGUGGAAGCGUCUGGAAAGGCGUGCGAUACAGGGUGACAGCCCCGUACACAAAAAUGCACAUACUGUGAGCUCGAUGAGUAGGGCGGGACACGUGGUAUCCUGUCUGAAUAUGGGGGGACCAUCCUCCAAGGCUAAAUACUCCUGACUGACCGAUAGUGAACCAGUACCGUGAGGGAAAGGCGAAAAGAACCCCGGCGAGGGAGUGAAAAAGAACCUGAAACCGUGUACGUACAAGCAGUGGGAGCACGCUUAGGCGUGUGACUGCGUACCUUUUGUAUAAUGGGUCAGCGACUUAUAUUCUGUAGCAAGGUUAACCGAAUAGGGGAGCCGAAGGGAAACCGAGUCUUAACUGGGCGUUAAGUUGCAGGGUAUAGACCCGAAACCCGGUGAUCUAGCCAUGGGCAGGUUGAAGGUUGGGUAACACUAACUGGAGGACCGAACCGACUAAUGUUGAAAAAUUAGCGGAUGACUUGUGGCUGGGGGUGAAAGGCCAAUCAAACCGGGAGAUAGCUGGUUCUCCCCGAAAGCUAUUUAGGUAGCGCCUCGUGAAUUCAUCUCCGGGGGUAGAGCACUGUUUCGGCAAGGGGGUCAUCCCGACUUACCAACCCGAUGCAAACUGCGAAUACCGGAGAAUGUUAUCACGGGAGGCACACGGCGGGUGCUAACGUCCGUCGUGAAGAGGGAAACAACCCAGACCGCCAGCUAAGGUCCCAAAGUCAUGGUUAAGUGGGAAACGAUGUGGGAAGGCCCAGACAGCCAGGAUGUUGGCUUAGAAGCAGCCAUCAUUUAAAGAAAGCGUAAUAGCUCACUGGUCGAGUCGGCCUGCGCGGAAGAUGUAACGGGGCUAAACCAUGCACCGAAGCUGCGGCAGCGACGCUUAUGCGUUGUUGGGUAGGGGAGCGUUCUGUAAGCCUGUGAAGGUGUACUGUGAGGUAUGCUGGAGGUAUCAGAAGUGCGAAUGCUGACAUAAGUAACGAUAAAGCGGGUGAAAAGCCCGCUCGCCGGAAGACCAAGGGUUCCUGUCCAACGUUAAUCGGGGCAGGGUGAGUCGACCCCUAAGGCGAGGCCGAAAGGCGUAGUCGAUGGGAAACAGGUUAAUAUUCCUGUACUUGGUGUUACUGCGAAGGGGGGACGGAGAAGGCUAUGUUGGCCGGGCGACGGUUGUCCCGGUUUAAGCGUGUAGGCUGGUUUUCCAGGCAAAUCCGGAAAAUCAAGGCCGAGGCGUGAUGACGAGGCACUACGGUGCUGAAGCAACAAAUGCCCUGCUUCCAGGAAAAGCCUCUAAGCAUCAGGUAACAUCAAAUCGUACCCCAAACCGACACAGGUGGUCAGGUAGAGAAUACCAAGGCGCUUGAGAGAACUCGGGUGAAGGAACUAGGCAAAAUGGUGCCGUAACUUCGGGAGAAGGCACGCUGAUACGUAGGUGAAGCGACUUGCUCGUGGAGCUGAAAUCAGUCGAAGAUACCAGCUGGCUGCAACUGUUUAUUAAAAACACAGCACUGUGCAAACACGAAAGUGGACGUAUACGGUGUGACGCCUGCCCGGUGCCGGAAGGUUAAUUGAUGGGGUUAGCGCAAGCGAAGCUCUUGAUCGAAGCCCCGGUAAACGGCGGCCGUAACUAUAACGGUCCUAAGGUAGCGAAAUUCCUUGUCGGGUAAGUUCCGACCUGCACGAAUGGCGUAAUGAUGGCCAGGCUGUCUCCACCCGAGACUCAGUGAAAUUGAACUCGCUGUGAAGAUGCAGUGUACCCGCGGCAAGACGGAAAGACCCCGUGAACCUUUACUAUAGCUUGACACUGAACAUUGAGCCUUGAUGUGUAGGAUAGGUGGGAGGCUUUGAAGUGUGGACGCCAGUCUGCAUGGAGCCGACCUUGAAAUACCACCCUUUAAUGUUUGAUGUUCUAACGUGGACCCGUAAUCCGGGUUGCGGACAGUGUCUGGUGGGUAGUUUGACUGGGGCGGUCUCCUCCUAAAGAGUAACGGAGGAGCACGAAGGUUGGCUAAUCCUGGUCGGACAUCAGGAGGUUAGUGCAAUGGCAUAAGCCAGCUUGACUGCGAGCGUGACGGCGCGAGCAGGUGCGAAAGCAGGUCAUAGUGAUCCGGUGGUUCUGAAUGGAAGGGCCAUCGCUCAACGGAUAAAAGGUACUCCGGGGAUAACAGGCUGAUACCGCCCAAGAGUUCAUAUCGACGGCGGUGUUUGGCACCUCGAUGUCGGCUCAUCACAUCCUGGGGCUGAAGUAGGUCCCAAGGGUAUGGCUGUUCGCCAUUUAAAGUGGUACGCGAGCUGGGUUUAGAACGUCGUGAGACAGUUCGGUCCCUAUCUGCCGUGGGCGCUGGAGAACUGAGGGGGGCUGCUCCUAGUACGAGAGGACCGGAGUGGACGCAUCACUGGUGUUCGGGUUGUCAUGCCAAUGGCACUGCCCGGUAGCUAAAUGCGGAAGAGAUAAGUGCUGAAAGCAUCUAAGCACGAAACUUGCCCCGAGAUGAGUUCUCCCUGACCCUUUAAGGGUCCUGAAGGAACGUUGAAGACGACGACGUUGAUAGGCCGGGUGUGUAAGCGCAGCGAUGCGUUGAGCUAACCGGUACUAAUGAACCGUGAGGCUUAACCUU
rnacentral:rRNA from 1 species